CUCAAAUAAAUGCUGUGAUGUCUGGAGCCCUUUGCAGAAGGCAGAAGGCAAGCUUCUACAAUGGGCUUCAGUGGGGCUUGCCAACAAGCACCGGCUAUUUUGCACAGGGCUCUGCUGACUGAAGUGAUCCCCACGGCCUGAGCGGAGGAGAGGAGGGAGAGGAAGCCUCGGAGGGAAGAGGGAUAGUUCUGGAGGAGCCUCGCUGACGCACUCACGCUCACAAAAACUCAAACACAAUGUCCCCCUCAGUCCUGGGCUGUGACCGGCCCGUGGCAUUGCCCAGAAAUUCAUGGAUGUUCCUAUGAGGAGACACAUCCAGGCAGCCUCACUUUCAUCUCCCUGCAUCAUUUGAGCUGAAAGCUCCUUCCUGUCGAUGCACUUGGCUAUAUCUGCGUCUGACCUGUCUGCCAUAUGUAAUAUCAAAGCCUCUGUCAGCACGGAGCUGAAUGGGAACAAAAGAGAUGCCUCUAUUAAUGAUUAACUGUUCUAAAAGCCCCGGCUUUUGUAUUCCCAUGGUGCCCAGGCUAUCUGGCCACCAUGUGACAUGCUCACAGCAUUUUUUGAGCAGAUUGGGGGAAAGCUAGUGAGCAAACACAGGUGCUUUGGAGCAGCGGUGCCGACGCUGUCAGGGACAACCACAAACAAGAGCAGCUAUGCCUGGCUAAAUGAAUCCCCACCCCUCCCAGCACCAUCACCACCUCCUCAACCCCCCGCUCUGUCACCAGCUAACUUGUUUGCUAGCUCCCUAUAGCUUUCUCCUUCUGCAUGGUGGCCGCCCCCCUGCCCCUCUUCCUUGCACAAAUGCAAUGUCCGCUGCAGCCAGGCUCCAGAACUUCUCACACUCUCCAAAGAAACAAACAAAUAAAAGUGAGGACGGCCGACCACUUCUUUGAGGUGAUGGCAUUUGCUGCGGUCAUGACUAGUGGGAGAGCAAACAAAUUAAUGGUGUCCGUGUUUUCACUUUCUAAACCAAACUAAAUGUCUUUUAGUUCAAGUGGGGCAAUACAACUGACCCCGAUGUCAAAUGCUGCGUAAAGGUUGCACACUCUUGCACUUGAAAUGCUGAGAAGAGGCCAUAAGAAAUUAACCAGAACUUGAGUAAUGUUAUAUAUGAGUAGAAAAAUAACAAAGUAAACAUGUAAAAAUCAAAAUAAUCUACUGAAAAAAAAAGUGUUUUAGCAGCAAGCUAUAACCAAAGAUGACUGAAGUGCUUAACCUUUUCAUCACAGUGACUUGGGGUGCUGUGUCUCUCAAGUUUGAUAAGACAAUCAGAUGAUAGGAUGGCGUUAUCUUAACACGGCUUUUCCGGCUGGGAGACAAAUGAACAGCGAAUGAUAAAGGGAACAAAAGCAUUGCUCUUAUAGGCUGGUACCUCAGAGCACAGGAAAAAUUAUCAGAGUGGAAAAUUCACACAAGGUGCCCAUAUUUCAUUUUCAAUUUGGCUCUCAAGCUAAAUCACAGGAACAGCAUUUUU